rnacentral:rRNA from 1 species
AAUGGGUCAGCGACUUAUAUUCUGUAGCAAGGUUAACCGAAUAGGGGAGCCGAAGGGAAACCGAGUCUUAACUGGGCGUUAAGUUGCAGGGUAUAGACCCGAAACCCGGUGAUCUAGCCAUGGGCAGGUUGAAGGUUGGGUAACACUAACUGGAGGACCGAACCGACUAAUGUUGAAAAAUUAGCGGAUGACUUGUGGCUGGGGGUGAAAGGCCAAUCAAACCGGGAGAUAGCUGGUUCUCCCCGAAAGCUAUUUAGGUAGCGCCUCGUGAAUUCAUCUCCGGGGGUAGAGCACUGUUUCGGCAAGGGGGUCAUCCCGACUUACCAACCCGAUGCAAACUGCGAAUACCGGAGAAUGUUAUCACGGGAGACACACGGCGGGUGCUAACGUCCGUCGUGAAGAGGGAAACAACCCAGACCGCCAGCUAAGGUCCCAAAGUCAUGGUUAAGUGGGAAACGAUGUGGGAAGGCCCAGACAGCCAGGAUGUUGGCUUAGAAGCAGCCAUCAUUUAAAGAAAGCGUAAUAGCUCACUGGUCGAGUCGGCCUGCGCGGAAGAUGUAACGGGGCUAAACCAUGCACCGAAGCUGCGGCAGCGACACUAAGUGUUGUUGGGUAGGGGAGCGUUCUGUAAGCCUGUGAAGGUGUACUGUGAGGU